rnacentral:rRNA from 3 species
GACACGACUCUCGGCAAUGGAUAUCUCGGCUCUCGCAUCG